CUUUCGCAGCGACCUCCUCGCCAAGGAGGACUUCCCGUCCGUCCGCUGCGGUCGUCCCCCGGUGCCUUCGGCUACGGCCGACUUCCUGUCCGGUGCUGGGGGUAGAAGGAGGUGGGCGAGCGGGCCGGGUUGUGUCCCCCUCUGCCUUUCUCAGGGGCUGGAACCGCCAGCAGGCCCAGGCAAUGAGGGACUCGGUCCAGGAGGAGGGGGAAACGCAGGCUUGGGGGUUCAGGAGGGCUGCGCUUGUCUCGAGGCACCGACGCUUCUUCCCGCCUCUUUUUGGGGGGCGGAGGGGGGGGAGAAUGCAGAGCACAUCUGUCCCUCUGCAGAACGGGUCGCAGAAAUAGCAUCCCUUGGCGCAACCUGGAGUCCCAAAGCACAGAAGAAAUUUCAGCGGCUCCCGUUACACCGAAUAAAAGGGGAUGAGCAGACGUCGAACGCAAAAGGAGAUGAUGAUGAGGAAUCGGUGAAAAAAACCAACAAAUGUUCCCUGGUUUGGGAGGUCCCAAAGCACAGAAGAAAUUUCAGCGGCUCCCGUUACACCGAAUAAAAUGGGAUGAGCAGACGUCGAACGCAAAAGGAGAUGGUAAGAAACUGCACUUCUGCUCGGGGCCGGCCUGGAAAUGCUUAUCAAGAAGUGAUGAAGUCAGUGAAAGCGAUUGACUGUGGGCUACCAAAAUGCUGAAACUGAGAAAUAAACGCCUCCGCAGGGUGAUGCGCUGGAAGCACAUAUUAUGAUGAGGAAUCGGUGAAAAAAACCAACAAAUGUUCCCUGGUUUGGGAGGUCCCAAAGCACAGAAGAAAUUUCAGCGGCUCCCGUUACACCGAAUAAAAUGGGAUGAGCAGACGUCGAACGCAAAAGGAGAUGAUGAUGAGGAAUCGGUGAAAAAAACCAACAAAUGUUCCCUGGUUUGGGAGUGGAAAGGGCACAAAGAGACGCAGUCUCUCGUACCGGCAUCCAGCCGCCUCCUUCGGGACAGGAAGUCGGCCAUGCCGAGAAGGUCGUUCUGAACGGAAGUGGAAGGACAGCCACAGAAACGGACAGGAAGUUGGCCAGGUCGCUGUGGAGGACUACUGCGCAUGUGUGACAGGAAGUGGCCAGCCAGUUGCAUGUCCGCUGCAUGUAAACAUGGAGAGAUUAUUGAAAAGCCACUGAUGGACUCCGGGGCUCCCUUUUUUUCCAGGCAUCCAGUUCAACUUCCGCUUCAGCUCCCACACCCUCAUCAUGGCCAACAUCCCCAAUGGGGCCAGCAUCAUGGACGACGACUUGACCGCUCCCCGAAGACACAGAGGCAUUAUCUACGCCUACGAAUUCUCCACAGACAAGCUGGUGGCAGAGAGCGUCCUUCCUAUCUGCUGCUCCUCUUACAACGAUGUGGCCGGCUACAGCUACAACAUUCCCCUUCCCCUAUGACAACAUCUAAGCAGGGUGGGAAGAAGGGAAAUCCAGCUGAGCUGGACCCUGGAGAAGGAGAACCCCAAGGCUGGCGUUCCUGCAGACCUCUUUGGAGGGCUCGGAAGCCACGGGUUGGCCAAGCAGGCAGCAGAAAAAGAGUGGGUGAGCACAUGGGGGUCUCCCCAAAGCUUUAAUAACAGCGCUGUGGGAGCGAAGAAGAGAUGGUGGGUAACAGGAACCAUGAUAGAUAGGCUAGAAUCGGGAGAUGAUAAUAAAGGCUUUAGCCCAAGAAUCAGGAGGUAGUAAGACAGGCUGUAGCCCACGUGUGCAGAGACCAUUCUGGGGGACGGGAGGGCUUCCAUUCCUUGCACCUAGCUGAAAUAGUUCAGUGCUGCCUUUCCGAAACAGCCGCCGAUGCUACCUGCAACAUCUGGAGAUCUUAAGAAGAAGAAGAGACUUUGCGAGUGUUUUUCUUGUAAAUAAAAUACCUUUAUUAAGUGUU